rnacentral:rRNA from 1 species
UCGAGAAUUUUUGGCAAUGGGGGAAACCCUGACCAAGCGAUGCCGCGUGUGGGAUGAAGGCCUUCGGGUUGUAAACCACUGUCAGUGGGGAGAAAAGGACCGGUGUACCCGGUCUUGAUCUAUCCGCAGAGGAAGUGUGGGCUAAGCUCGUGCCAGCAGCCGCGGUAAGACGAGCCACACGAACGUUAUUCGGAAUUACUGGGCUUAAAGGGUGCGUAGGCGGCGCGGAAAGUUGGGUGUGAAAUCCCUCGGCUCAACCGAGGAACUGCGCCCAAAACUGCCGUGCUCGAGGAAGAUAGAGGUAAGCGGAACUUACGGUGGAGCGGUGAAAUGCGUUGAUAUCGUAAGGAACACCUGUGGCGAAAGCGGCUUACUGGGUCUUUUCUGACGCUGAUGCACGAAAGCUAGGGGAGCAAACGG